UUCCGGUUGAUCCUGCCAGACCCGACUGCUAUUUGGGUGAGGAUAAGCCAUGCGAGUUGAAUGGGAAACCUAAAGUUCCCAUGGCAAACUGCUCAGUAACACAUGAUCAACUUACCCUAUAGAGAAAAAUAACCUCGGGAAACUGAGGAUAAUGUUUCAUAGUUGAAUUGGCUUGGAAAAGUUUUUCGACGAAAGGGGUAAAAAAAAUGGUUUUUAUCUGCUAUAGGAUAGGAUCGUGUUCGAUUAUGGUUGUUGGUGAGGUAAUGGCUCACCAAGCCGAUAAUCGAUAGGGGCCGUGAGAGCGGGAGCCCCGAGAUGGGUACUGAGACAACGACCCAGGCCUUACGAGGCGCAGCAGGCGCGAAACCUCCGCAAUACACGAAAGUGUGACGGGGUUACCCAAAGUGUUCAAUUUUGAACUGUGGUAGGUGAGUAAUGUUCCCUACUAGAAAGGAGAGGGCAAGGCUGGUGCCAGCCGCCGCGGUAAAACCAGCUCUUCAAGUGGUCGGGAUAAUUAUUGGGCUUAAAGUGUCCGUAGCCGGUUUAGUAAGUUCCUGGUAAAAUCGGGUAGCUUAACUAUCUAUAUGCUAGGAAUACUACUAUACUAGAGGGCGGGAGAGGUCUGAGGUACUGCAGGGGUAGGGGUGAAAUCUUAUAAUCCUUGUUGGACCACCAGUGGCGAAGGCGUCAGACUGGAACGCGCCUGACGGUGAGGGACGAAAGCCAGGGGAGCGAACCGGAUUAGAUACCCGGGUAGUCCUGGCCGUAAACGAUGCAUACUAGGUGAUGGCACGGCCAUGAGCGUGUCAGUGCCGUAGGGAAACCGUUAAGUGUGCCGCCUGGGAAGUACGGUCGCAAGGCUAAAACUUAAAGGAAUUGGCGGGGGAGCAC
rnacentral:rRNA from 1 species